rnacentral:lncRNA from 1 species
AUAUAUAUAUAUAUAUAUAGAGAGAGAGAGAGAGAGAGAGAGAGAGAGAGAGAGAGAGAGAGAGAGAGAGAUGAGCUAAAAUAUUAUUGGUAGUAAACGAGCUGUUUUACUACCGAUUUAUUUUCGAUGAUAGAACUUCUAAAUUGACGAUCGGCUCCGUUGAACAUUAUCUAUACCACUUGAAGUGUUUAGAAAUCAAAUUUCAAAUCAUUUCGACAUUAUUUGCCUAAUGAUCAAAGGGUUUCAAAAUUUGUAAUUUUAAUAGUCGAUAAGAGGCGUUUUCUCGUUUAACGGUAUAAAGAUAUCCAAAUCAAUUGAAUUUUUGUUAGAAAAUUCUUUAAACUAUUUAAAACAAGAUUUAUACUCUUGAUCUUAAUUACAAGACUCCUAUCAUCAUUUUUUUAAGGAGUAUUCAUUUUCAGCCAUUUAUUUUUCUGUUCACUUGAUGGAUAAAAGAACAAUAUCGAAAGUACGUGAAAUUUGAUUUCUAGGUAGUUUAAAUAGUUUAGAUCAUAUUUAAGGGAGCCGAUCGUCAAUUUGGAUGUUCUAUCAUAGAAAACAAAUCGAUAGUAAAACGACUCGUUUACUACCGAUAGUAUUCUAGCUCAACUCUCUCUCUCUCUCUCUCUCUCUAUAUAUAUAUAUA